UUUUGAGAAAUUGAAAGUUUUUGGGUUCUGGGGGGAGUAUGGUCGCAAGGCUGGAACUUAAAGAAAUUGACGGAAGGGCACCACCAGGAGUGGAACCUGCGGCUUAAUUUGACCCAACACGGGAAAACUUAUCAGGUCCAGACAUAAUGAGGAUUGACAGAUUGAGAGCUCUUUCUUGAUUUUAUGGGUGGUGGUGCAUGGCCGUUCUUAGUUGGUGGAGUGAUUUGUCUGGUUAAUUCCGUUAACGAACGAGACCC
rnacentral:rRNA from 1 species